AAGGAUCAUUAAAGAGAUCAUGCCCUCACGGGUAGACCUCCCACCCUUUGUUUACAAUACCUUUGUUGCUUUGGCGGGCCCGUUUGGCCCCGCGCUGAACAACCGGCCCCGGCUGGUCAGUGCCCGCCAGAGAACCGAAAACUCCGAAUUAAAUGUCGUCUGAGUACUAUGUAAUAGUUAAAACUUUCAACAACGGAUCUCUUGGUUCUG
rnacentral:misc_RNA from 1 species